CCUACGUGCGGCUGCAGUGAGGAAUAUUGGUCAAUGGGCGGGAGCCUGAACCAGCCAAGUCGCGUGAGGGAAGACGGUCCUACGGAUUGUAAACCUCUUUUGCCGGGGAGCAACGGGGUCCUUGCGAGGGCCCGAUGAGAGUACCCGGAGAAAAAGCAUCGGCUAACUCCGUGCCAGCAGCCGCGGUAAUACGGAGGAUGCGAGCGUUAUCCGGAUUUAUUGGGUUUAAAGGGAGCGUAGGUGGAUUGUUAAGUCAGUUGUGAAAGUUUGCGGCUCAACCGUAAAAUUGCAGUUGAAACUGGCAGUCUUGAGUACAGUAGAGGUGGGCGGAAUUCGUGGUGUAGCGGUGAAAUGCUUAGAUAUCACGAAGAACUCCGAUUGCGAAGGCAGCUCACUGGACUGCAACUGACACUGAUGCUCGAAAGUGUGGGUAUCAAACAGGAUUAGAUACCCCUGUAGUC
rnacentral:rRNA from 1 species